AUUGAACGCUGGCGGCAUGCCUUACACAUGCAAGUCGAACGGUAACGCGGGGCAACCUGGCGACGAGUGGCGAACGGGUGAGUAAUGUAUCGGAACGUGCCCAGUUGUGGGGGAUAACUGCUCGAAAGAGCAGCUAAUACCGCAUACGACCUGAGGGUGAAAGCGGGGGAUCGCAAGACCUCGCGCAAUUGGAGCGGCCGAUAUCAGAUUGGGUAGUUGGUGAGGUAAAGGCUCACCAAGCCGACGAUCUGUAGCUGGUCUGAGAGGACGACCAGCCACACUGGGACUGAGACACGGCCCAGACUCCUACGGGAGGCAGCAGUGGGGAAUUUUGGACAAUGGACGCAAGUCUGAUCCAGCCAUGCCGCGUGCGGGAAGAAGGCCUUCGGGUUGUAAACCGCUUUUGUCAGGGAAGAAACGCUCUGGGUUAAUACCCCGGGGUAAUGACGGUACCUGAAGAAUAAGCACCGGCUAACUACGUGCCAGCAGCCGCGGUAAUAC
rnacentral:rRNA from 1 species